rnacentral:rRNA from 1 species
AAGGAAUAUUGCUCAAUGGGAGAAAUCCUGAAGCAGCAACGCCGCGUGGAGGAUGAAGGGUCUAUGACUUGUAAACUCCUGUAAAGAAGGAAAAAAUUCCCAUUAGAUGGGAGAUGAUGGUACUUCUGGAGUAAGCCCCGGCUAACUACGUGCCAGCAGCCGCGGUAAUACGUAGGGGGCAAGCGUUGUCCGGAUUUACUGGGUGUAAAGGGUGCUCAGGCGGAUUUGUAAGUCAGAGGUGAAAUCUUACAGCUUAACUGUGAAACUGCCUUUGAUACUGCAAGCCUAGAGUAUGGAAGAGNGUGAUGGAAUAUCUGGUGUAGCAGUGAAAUGCGUAGAUAUCAGAUAGAACACCAAUGGCGAAGGCAGUCACUUGGUCCAUUACUGACGCUAAAGCACGAAAGCGUGGGUAGCAAACA